rnacentral:tRNA from 1 species
AGUAAAGUAAGCUAAUAGUAAGCUGUUGGGUUCAUACCCCAAAAAUAGAUAGUUCAUUCUCUUUAUUA